rnacentral:rRNA from 1 species
GAUGAACGCUGGCGGCGUGCUUAACACAUGCAAGUCGAACGAAGCACUUUAUUUGAUUUCCUUCGGGACUGAUUAUUUUGUGACUGAGUGGCGGACGGGUGAGUAACGCGUGGGUAACCUGCCUUGUACAGGGGGAUAACAGUUGGAAACGGCUGCUAAUACCGCAUAAGCGCAUAGCACCGCAUGAUGCAGUGUGAAAAACUCCGGUGGUAUAAGAUGGACCCGCGUUGGAUUAGCUAGUUGGUGAGGUAACGGCCCACCAAGGCGACGAUCCAUAGCCGACCUGAGAGGGUGACCGGCCACAUUGGGACUGAGACACGGCCCAAACUCCUACGGGAGGCAGCAGUGGGGAAUAUUGCACAAUGGGCGAAAGCCUGAUGCAGCGACGCCGCGUGAGCGAAGAAGUAUUUCGGUAUGUAAAGCUCUAUCAGCAGGGAAG